rnacentral:misc_RNA from 1 species
AACGCACAUUGCGCCCUCUGGUAUUCCGGAGGGCAUGCCUGUUCGAGCGUCAUUAUACCACUCAAGCUUAGCUUGGUAUUGGGGCCCGCCCACCAGCGGCCUCUAAAGUCAGUGGCGGUGCCGGUCGGCUCUAAGCGUAGUAAUACUCCUCGCUAUAGGGUCCGGUCGGUUGCUUGCCAACAACCCCAAUUUUUAUCAGGUUGACCUCGGAUCAGGUAGGGAUACCCGCUGAACUUAA